GGACUGUAGCUCAGUGGUAGAGCAUCUGCCUUGUGGGCAGGGGAUCUCAGGUUCGAUCCCCGAUGACAUCUCCA